rnacentral:lncRNA from 1 species
CGGCUUUGUAUCUGUGUUGUUCGGCAGUCGUUCGGGACACUUCCAGCUGGUCUCUGUGCCUGGAGCCUGUAGGCCACAGCUGCAUCCUGUGGGGAGCUGGAUAGCACUGCCAUCACAACGGCUGUGGAGCUCUCAGACUUCAUUGUCUCCAGUGGUGUUUUCACAGGUGUGAUGGGCCGAGGAAUUCUGCUCUUUGUGCUUAUGAG